rnacentral:rRNA from 1 species
GCUUGCUAGUAGGCGACGAGUGGCGAACGGGUGAGUAACGCGUAGGAAUAUACCUUUUUGUGGGGGACAACUUUAGGAAACUGAAGCUAAUACCGCAUAAUAUCUUCGGAUAAAAGCUGGGGACCUUCGGGCCUGGUGCAAAGAGAUUAGCCUGCGUCCGAUUAGCUAGUUGGUAGGGUAAAGGCCUACCAAGGCGACGAUCGGUAGCUGUUCUGAGAGGAAGACCAGCCACACUGGGACUGAGACACGGCCCAGACUCCUACGGGAGGCAGCAGUGGGGAAUAUUGGACAAUGGGGGCAACCCUGAUCCAGCAAUGCCGCGUGUGUGAAGAAGGCCUUCGGGUUGUAAAGCACUUUCAGUGGGGAGGAAAGGUUGUUAUUUAAUAAAUGAUAGCUGUGACGUUACCCACAGAAGAAGCACCGGCUAACUCCGUGCCAGCAGCCGCG